AGAUUGUAACACCCCGAUUUUUGAAACAGUUUAUUAUUUAUUUUAUUAACUAUAUUAUAUAUUUUAGUUUAUUUAAUAAUUAAAUUCAUUUAUCUUUAGGAAUUAUUUUGUAAAUAAUAUAUAUGCUUAUAGUGGGACAAGUUUAGUAAGUAAUUUAAGUAAUAAUAGUAAUAAGAGGAUAUAUACUCACAUAUAUGUAAGAAGGGGGAAAAGGGAAAAAAAACAAGAAAAGAAAAAGGAAAGAAAAAAAAAUAACAAACGUACAAAAGAACGACAUUCACCACCGUUCAUCUUCGUUACUUUCACCAUCUUCACCAUUUUCUUCUCUCAAAAUUCUCCCUUCAUCACACAACCACCACCGUGCCGACGACACAACCACAACCGCCACUAGAGGUGACGCCAUAGAAGUAGGCGGCGCAAGGAAGAAAGGGGGUCGUCGUUACGUUGCUGUAAUUGGGAGCAUUUGGUGCUCGAAUUAGGGGCGUUUGCAAGUUAUUUCUCAUCCCCAAUCAUCUAUAUUAGUGGGUACAUGAAGGCUUAGAGUCGGGGUAUGGGCGGAGAGCAACGUCCACUAGUUUUGCGUAAAUAUAAUUAUAAUAGUUCUGUUAUGGUGCAUUUCUUAUAUAUAAUCAAUAUUUUGAGCUUAGGGUUGUAAAUAUUAAUCCACCUAAAUCUUUAUUCGGUUGGGUUGUAAUAGUUUAAAAUAAACUUUAAAUUAGUUUUGGUGCAGGUAGUUCUUCCUUAGCGAUUAUUCUCUUAAUAAUCGUGGAAUAACACGUUUGGAUUUCGAGUAGUUA